CGGCUCACCCACACCUGCCAAAUUAGACCCGCCGGUGGAGCGCUCCAGGCAGAAGAAGCCCUGAGAGCCCAGGGAUCUCGGACACGUGGAUGGAGGAGCUGUCUGUCUUGUCCCCAGCGUCUCAGAGUGGUGCCUGCACAAGAGAAGAGGCCCUGCUGAGGACGGAACUGAAGAGACCUUUUGCAACUCCCAUGGUUCUGCUCCUUUG